rnacentral:rRNA from 1 species
UACGGAGGGUGCAAGCAUUGAUCGGAAUUACUGGGCGUAAAGGGCGCGUAGGCGGUCCAGAAAGUCAGAUGUGAAAUUCUCGGGGCUCAACCCCGGAACUGCAUUUGAAACUUCUGGACUCGAGUUCAGUUAGGGAAAACGGAAUUCCACAUGUAGCGGUGAAAUGCGUAGAUAUGUGGAAGAACACCGGUGGUGAAGACGGUUUUCUGGGCUGUUACUGACGCUGAGGCGCGAAAGCAAGGGGAGCAAACAGG